UCCUCGUUAGUAUAGUGGUGUGUAUCCCCGCCUGUCACGCGGGAGACCAGGGGUUCGAUUCCCCGACGGGGAG
rfam:Ciona savignyi cont_31374, whole genome shotgun sequence.